ACUCCUACGGGAGGCAGCAGUGGGGAAUAUUGCACAAUGGGGGAAACCCCUGAUGCAGCCAUGCCGCGUGUGUGAAGAAGGCCUUGGGUUGUAAAGCACUUUCAGUAGGGAGGAAGGUAGUGUAGUUAACACCUGCAUUAUUUGUACGUUACCUACAGAAGAAGCACCGGCUAACUCCGUGCCAGCAGCCGCGGUAAUACGGGAGGGUGCGAGCGUUAAUCGGAAUUACUGGGCGUAAAAGCGCAUGCGAGGCGGGCCUGUUAAAGUCAGAUGUGAAAGCCCGGGGGCUUAACCUCGGAAUUGCAUUUGAAACUGGCAGGGCUAGAGUCUUGGUAGUAGGGGGUAGGAAAGUUU
rnacentral:rRNA from 1 species